rnacentral:rRNA from 1 species
UACGUAGGGGGCAAGCGUUGUCCGGAAUCAUUGGGCGUAAAGAGCGUGUAGGCGGUUCUGUAAGUCCGCUGUGAAAGUCCAGGGCUCAACCCUUGAAUGCCGGUGGAUACUGUUGAACUAGAGUCCGGAAGAGGCGAGUGGAAUUCCUGGUGUAGCGGUGAAAUGCGCAGAUAUCAGGAGGAACACCGAUUGCGAAGGCAGCUCGCUGGGACGGUACUGACGCUGAGACGCGAAAGCGUGGGGAGCAAACAGG